rnacentral:rRNA from 1 species
AUUGAACGCUGGCGGCAGGCCUAACACAUGCAAGUCGAACGGUAACAGGAAGAAGCUUGCUUCUUUGCUGACGAGUGGCGGACGGGUGAGUAAUGUCUGGGAAACUGCCUGAUGGCGGGGGAUAACUACUGGAAACGGUAGCUAAUACCGCAUAACGUCGCAAGACCAAAGAGGGGGACCUUCGGGCCUCUUGCCAUCGGAUGUGCCCAGAUGGGAUUAGCUAGUAGGUGGGGUAACGGCUCACCUAGGCGACGAUCCCUAGCUGGUCUGAGAGGAUGACCAGCCACACUGGAACUGAGACACGGUCCAGACUCCUACGGGAGGCAGCAGUGGGGAAUAUUGCACAAUGGGCGCAAGCCUGAUGCAGCCAUGCCGCGUGUAUGAAGAAGGCCUUCGGGUUGUAAAGUACUUUCAGCGGGGAGGAAGGGAGUAAAGUUAAUACCUUUGCUCAUUGACGUUACCCGCAGAAGAAGCACCGGCUAACUCCGUG